AACGAACGCUGGCGGCAUGCCUAACACAUGCAAGUCGAACGGCAGCACGGGAGCAAUCCUGGUGGCGAGUGGCGAACGGGUGAGUAAAGUAUCGGAACGUGCCCAGUCGUGGGGGAUAACGUAGCGAAAGUUACGCUAAUACCGCGUACGAUCUAUGGAUGAAAGCGGGGGAUCGCAAGACCUCGCGCGAUUGGAGCGGCCGAUAUCAGAUUAGGUAGUUGGUGGGGUAAAGGCUCACCAAGCCGACGAUCUGUAGCUGGUCUGAGGGGACGACCAGCAACACUGGGACUGAGACACGGCCCAGACUCCUACGGGAGGCAGCAGUGGGGAAUUUUGGACAAUGGGCGAAAGCCUGAUCCAGCCAUGCCGCGUGCAGGAUGAAGGCCUUCGGGUUGUAAACUGCUUUUGUACGGAACGAAAAGGUUUGGCCUAAUAAGCUGAGCUCAUGACGGUACCGUAAGAAUAAGCACCGGCUAACUACGUGCCAGCAGCCGCCGUAA
rnacentral:rRNA from 1 species